rnacentral:rRNA from 1 species
CACACUGGAACUGAGACACGGUCCAGACUCCUACGGGAGGCAGCAGUGAGGAAUAUUGCACAAUGGAGGAAACUCUGAUGCAGCAACGCCGCGUGGAGGAUGACGCAUUUCGGUGUGUAAACUCCUUUUAUUAGGGAAGAUAAUGACGGUACCUAAUGAAUAAGCACCGGCUAACUCCGUGCCAGCAGCCGCGGUAAUACGGAGGGUGCAAGCGUUACUCGGAAUCACUGGGCGUAAAGGGUGCGUAGGCUGGCUUUUAAGUCAGAUGUGAAAUCCAAUGGCUCAACCAUUGAACUGCAUUUGAAACUGAAAGCCUAGAGUUCAGAAGGGGCAGAUGGAAUUAGUGGUGUAGGGGUAAAAUCCGUAGAUAUCACUAGGAAUAUCAAAAGCGAAGGCGAUCUGCUGGGAUGA